rnacentral:rRNA from 1 species
GACGAACGCUGGCGGCGUGCUUAACACAUGCAAGUCGAACGGAAAGGCCCUGCUUUUGUGGGGUGCUCGAGUGGCGAACGGGUGAGUAACACGUGAGUAACCUGCCCUUGACUUUGGGAUAACUUCAGGAAACUGGGGCUAAUACCGGAUAGGAGCUCCUGCUGCAUGGUGGGGGUUGGAAAGUUUCGGCGGUUGGGGAUGGACUCGCGGCUUAUCAGCUUGUUGGUGGGGUAGUGGCUUACCAAGGCUUUGACGGGUAGCCGGCCUGAGAGGGUGACCGGCCACAUUGGGACUGAGAUACAGCCCAGACGCCUACGGGAGGCAGCAGGGGGGAAUAUUGCAAAAUGGGCGGAAGCCUGAUGCAGCAACGCCGCGUGCGGGAUGACGGCCUUCGGGUUGUAAACCGCUUUCGCCUGUGACGAAGCGUGAGUGACGGUAAUGGGUAAAGAAGCACCGGCUAACUACGU